AAUAAAAUGACGCUGUCUGGAAAAGUUCCCUUGAAUGACGACUGUUUGUUUAGUUGAUACAACAACAUUCAACACUAAUUUCCCAAAAUGUGGCCGAUAAAUGUUCUGGAGUGUCAAACAUGUCCGCCAAAAAUACAUUGAAGUGAACGUGAGUGCGAAUUCAGGGAUUCCACAGCAAGCAACAAGUGUUGGAGGCAAAAAACGGUCAAUAUCUGCCCGGUCCAGCUAACAUACUGUAUGACGACAUUGGGCUAUUUGAAAAUGUUUAAGUAGCAUAUUUUAAGGUCAAGGAGCACAAAUAAAAGCGGAUGUUCUUGCGAGCGAGCAUUGUUCAUGGCACGCUUCAGCAAGUUUAGCUAACUGCGCAACCGGACCGUAGCAGUCUCUUUAUAACCCAUUAGGCUACAUGCAUGUUUGUUUAUGCCCGAGACCCAACUGUUCAAGUAAACUACAUAGACUUUGCAACCGAUGCUGGGAAGAUAACCACAGAGAGCUAGAGGGGAGAGAGAGAACUUACUUGAAGGAAAUGGACACAUUCCAAUGGAUAGCUGUAUUGGGUGCAGAUGACUGAACUGCUCACUUCUGUGUCUGCAGACUUCACCCUCCCUACACCUCUGAUGAAUACAACAGGAAACCUGUUCAAUGACCAUGCACUGCUAAAUCAUUCUGGCUAUAGAUACGGAGAACAUCAACACAUGAACAUCAACACGCCAGAGGAUAUACCCAUUGGACUUGAGGCUCUGAUGGGAGUUUACCUCGUAUUUACAAGUUUUAAUCUGUUUGCCACUAAAAU